rnacentral:rRNA from 1 species
UCGACGUGCGGCGUGCCUAUACAUGCAAGUCGAGCGGACAGAUGGGAGCUUGCUCCCUGAUGUUAGCGGCGGACGGGUGAGUAACACGUGGGUAACCUGCCUGUAAGACUGGGAUAACUCCGGGAAACCGGGGCUAAUACCGGAUGGUUGUUUGAACCGCAUGGUUCAAACAUAAAAGGUGGCUUCGGCUACCACUUACAGAUGGACCCGCGGCGCAUUAGCUAGUUGGUGAGGUAACGGCUCACCAAGGCAACGAUGCGUAGCCGACCUGAGAGGGUGAUCGGCCACACUGGGACUGAGACACGGCCCAGACUCCUACGGGAGGCAGCAGUAGGGAAUCUUCCGCAAUGGACGAAAGUCUGACGGAGCAACGCCGCGUGAGUGAUGAAGGUUUUCGGAUCGUAAAGCUCUGUUGUUAGGGAAGAACAAGUACCGUUCGAAUAGGGCGGUACCUUGACGGUACCUAACCAGAAAGCCACGGCUAACUACGUGCCAGCAGCCGCGGUAAUACGUAGGUGGCAAGCGUUGUCCGGAAUUAUUGGGCGUAAAGGGCUCGCAGGCGGUUUCUUAAGUCUGAUGUGAAAGCCCCCGGCUCAACCGGGGAGGGUCAUUGGAAACUGGGGAACUUGAGUGCAGAAGAGGAGAGUGGAAUUCCACGUGUAGCGGUGAAAUGCGUAGAGAUGUGGAGGAACACCAGUGGCGAAGGCGACUCUCUGGUCUGUAACUGACGCUGAGGAGCGAAAGCGUGGGGAGCGAACAGGAUUAGAUACCCUGGUAGUCCACGCCGUAAACGAUGAGUG